CGUCACCCAGUCGCCCUUGGUAAGUCCAUGCAUCAUCACUUCCCCUGUUCUCCCUUUCCCAGAUUGCCUUGAGAUGAUGUUGAAUUGGUAAUCAAUUAAUUUGUUAGUGAUUGAAUCUUGAAUUUGUUGCUGUCUUGCUGAAUAAUGACCGAGUUUAAUUUUUUUUUCUUUGCUAAAAAUCAUCAGAGUUGAUUAUCAUCGAACCUUGAAUUUGUUGCUGGCUUGCUCAAACACCCCCUAUUAUCUUUUCUAUGCACUACUUGGGUAUGUUACAGUUUUCAUAUGACCGGGCUUACAAUUUGUUGCUGUCUUGCUCAAACACCCCCUAUUAUAUUUAUUUCUACAGUCUUCAUAUUGUACAUUGCUUCAUGAUUUCAGUUUGUUUUUGCAUGAUAUACUUCAACUGAUAGCUUGUUUCCCCUGAAUGAAUUAAAAUAAAGGUGAAUCACUAGUUCCCUUAAUCACUUAGGUGACACCUUUGAGAAGGCUUUUGAGGUAACUUCUCUGUCUUAUAUGUUUCCACCUUGGAAUUGGUUUAUGUCCACAGUUCAUAACAAGUUACAUGGCUUUGUUUGAAUUAGUUGGGAAAUGUUUCUUCCACGCUUGAAACAUCAAACCUGAUCUAUGUCUAUUAAUGAUGUUUUAUUAUAGGGUAACAAUGUAGUAACAUCUUGCUUUUAGAAAAAAACAGAAUUGUUAACUAGCUGAGACACAUAGUUAACUACUAAUUUGAUUCUUCAUUAUCUGGUGUAUGGGAAUUGUAUCAUUUCAAGUAUUGAAACAACAUAACAUUGUUCAUCUCAUUGCUGCUUCUCAAAUUUCUUCAGGAAGGUCGAAUGAUCGUGGAGAGAAAGAUAGCAGAACUGAAGACUCAAAUCCGGCUUAAAAAAAGUCACGGGGUCGAGGACGAUGAAUCACAACUCAAGGCAUCUCGAGAAGUAUUGCCAACUAUGUAAUCGUGUGUUCUUGCCUCACUAAGUGAAGGCACAGACUGUAUAAGCUAUAUCAGAGAUGUUAAUAGAUUUUUUUAGUUUGAAUAAGAUGGUUCUAUGCAGAUCAGUAAUGACACAUUCAACCAUUAUAAAAUCAUAAGAAAAAUACUAAACCGGAAUUUCAUUGUCAGAAGUUUAUGGCGGAACAUCAUAAUGUUUUUUAACCAUUGGAUUAAUGUGUAGUUUUCAACCUUUUACUCCUUUGAAUUAUCAACCGCUUCUGAUAGCAUUUCUGAAUAGAAAAUUGAGUUUGUAAUGACAGUUUAGUUGAAUAAAAUGUUUAUGUUCUUAAGUAACUGAACAAGCAUAAUUUCACUUUGCUUUGGUUGCAACUUGCAGGUGGCAAUGGCAACGGCUGCCAAAGCUUAGGGGUGGUCAGCUACCUUUGAAAAUAAAAUAAUUUAAAAAUUUGAAACAUACAGAAUCCUGUAUGAUAGAUAAAUAUAUCUGCAAUUUUCUCAUCAACGGCUAUUAUUGCGCAUUCUACUACCUAAAGAGUCGGGUAUACUCUAGAAAAGCAAAAUCUAGGACCAGAUAACUCUAUGCUA
rnacentral:lncRNA from 1 species